UCUUUUAUUGAAACUCUUGUUUAUUUAUAUGCUUGUCAUAUGCUUUGAUUAUCAAUUGUUGGGUUCUCAUCUGUGCUUAAAGCUUUUAUCGUUUAACCUAUUUCGAUAACUGUUGUUUGUCUUUAUUGAUACGGGGACGUAUGGUACUGUCAUGAACUAGUGAGAAAUUCCUUGAUUAAGCAAUACCAACCUAGGGAUAGGGGGUAGGACGAUCAAUUUUUUUUGCUUCUGUUCUUAACGCGUUAUUAAUUGCUAUGGGAGGCUAGGGAUAGUAAGCGAGUAAUUAGUAAUAGGCUCUUUUCGCCGAGGGAUCGGGUUAAGGGUAGGCCAAGAAAGUUUGCAUAACAAUUAGAUAAUCAAGCACAUUAAACAAGAGGAGUAGAUAAGAGGGAGCGGAUAAGAUGGAAAUUGUCAACCCCCAAUAACUCCAUUCAUCCAUAGUCUUUUUCUUGUCAACUGAAUCAAACGCAUUGCAUGUUUAAUUUCUGUUUUUGCAUCCGCAACAAUUAAUUUUUCUCUACAAGUCUUACAAUCUCAAUUCGCACGAACGAUAAGGCCUUCCGAGUUUCUUGGGAAGAAUGAUAUCGGGCAUUACCGAUUAUAUUACUUGAACGAUCUGGUACACUUGCCAGUGAGUCAACAAUGGACAAGAAACACAAAUCCUAGUAGCACUUUUUAUAUAAAAACAAAAAAAAAAAACAAAAACAAAAUAUAUACAAUCAAGUCAAAUUUACUCAAUUUACACUACUAGAUAAGUUAAACCAUGAUUCCCCGGCAACGGCGCCAAAAACUUGUUAAGUCCCUGGCAAGUGUACCAGAUCGUUAUCAAGUAAUAUAAAACGGGUAAGUCCGAGUAUCGUUUUCCCAAAGGACUCUUAGGCCUUAACUUUCAUGUAAAGAGAUCGCAUAAGACUUGAGAAAAGAAAUUAAUUUUAGGUUUUGUAUGCAAAGGACGAAACUAAACAUGCAAAAUGCAGUGAAUCAAUUGGCUAGAAGAAACUAUGGAUGAAUGGAAUUGUUGGGGUUUACAAUUUCAUCUUAUCCACCCUCUUAUAUCCACUCUUCUUAUUUAAUUUGCUUAUUUAUCAUAUUGUCAUGCAAACUUUCUUAGUCUACCCUAAACCCAAUCUCUUGGAGAAAAGAGCCUAUUACUAAUUACUGGCUUGUUAUCUCUAGCCUCCCCUAGUAACUAGCAAUGCAUGAUAAAUGGAAGCAAAAUACAAUUGAUCGUCCUACCCCUAUCUCUAGGCGGUAUUAGCAUAAUGAAGGAAUUCCCCCCAGUUCAUGACAAACAACAA
rnacentral:lncRNA from 1 species